rnacentral:rRNA from 1 species
UACGGGAGGGAGCUAGCGUUGUUCGGAAUUACUGGGCGUAAAGCGCGCGCAGGCGGUCUUCCAAGUCAGUGGUGAAAGCCCGGAGCUCAACUCCGGAAUUGCCAUUGAAACUGUUGGGACUUGAGGAUGAGAGAGGUGAGUGGAAUUCCCCAGUGUAGAGGUGAAAUUCGUAGAUAUUGGGAAGAACACCGGUGGCGAAGGCGGCUCACUGGCUCAUUACUGACGCUCAGGCGCGAUAGCGUGGGGAUCAAACAGG